rnacentral:rRNA from 1 species
CGGGUUAAGUCCCGCAACGAGCGCAACCCCUGCCCUUAGUUGCCAUCGGGUCACGCCGGGGAACUCUAAGGGGACCGCCCCGGACAACGGGGAGGAAGGUGGGAUGACGUCAAGUCAGCAUGGCCUUUAUGUCCAGGGCUACACACGUGCUACAAUGGUUGGUACAAAGGGUUGCCAAGCCGUGAGGCGGAGCCAAUCUCAAAAAGCCAACCUCAGUUCGGAUUGUAGGCUGCAAUUCGCCUACAUGAAGCUGGAAUUGCUAGUAAUCGCAGAUCAGCUACGCUGCGGUGAAUACGUUCUCGGGCCUU